rnacentral:rRNA from 1 species
AUUGAACGCUGGCGGCAGGCCUAACACAUGCAAGUCGAGCGGAUGAAGGGAGCUUGCUCCUGGACUCAGCGGCGGACGGGUGAGUAAUGCCUAGGAAUCUGCCUGGUAGUGGGGGAUAACGUCCGGAAACGGGCGCUAAUACCGCAUACGUCCUGAGGGAGAAAGUGGGGGAUCUUCGGACCUCACGCUAUCAGAUGAGCCUAGGUCGGAUUAGCUAGUUGGUGGGGUAAAGGCCUACCAAGGCGACGAUCCGUAACUGGUCUGAGAGGAUGAUCAGUCACACUGGAACUGAGACACGGUCCAGACUCCUACGGGAGGCAGCAGUGGGGAAUAUUGGACAAUGGGCGAAAGCCUGAUCCAGCCAUGCCGCGUGUGUGAAGAUGGUCUUCGGAUUGUAAAGCACUUUAAGUUGGGAGGAAGGGCAGUAAGUUAAUACCUUGCUGUUUUGACGUUACCAACAGAAUAAGCACCGGCUAACUUCGUG